UACAGAGGGUGCGAGCGUUAAUCGGAAUUACUGGGCGUAAAGCGCGUGUAGGCGGUUUGAUAAGUUGGAUGUGAAAUCCCCGGGCUUAACCUGGGCACUGCAUUCAAAACUGUCAGACUAGAGUAUGGGAGAGGAAGGUAGAAUUCCAGGUGUAGCGGUGAAAUGCGUAGAGAUCUGGAGGAAUACCGAUGGCGAAGGCAGCCUUCUGGCCUAAUACUGACGCUGAGAUGCGAAAGCAUGGGGAGCAAACAGG
rnacentral:rRNA from 1 species